CAUAAAGCGAAGACGGAGACGAGUAGUCCGGUGGCGGCCCCAGCGAGUCCGGUACGGUGGAAGCGGACGGCGCAGAACCGGUUGAAAAUCACUCCUGAGUUGCCGGGUGAAAGAGAAAUCUUGAUUAGCCCUGGACGGAGCCGACCGUUAUAACGGACAGGCAUGAUAGUGCCUUGAAUGAGUGCUCCGGUAAUCAAAACCGGGGAACGAGGGUGGUACCGCGGGUAUAUCCCGUCCCUUGA
rnacentral:ncRNA from 1 species